rnacentral:rRNA from 1 species
GACGAACGCUGGCGGCGUGCUUAACACAUGCAAGUCGAACGGUAAAGCGCCUUCCUUUUUGGUGGGUGUGGAUGAGUGGCGAACGGGUGAGUAACACGUGAGUAACCUGCCCCCUUCUUCUGGAUAACCGCAUGAAAGUGUGGCUAAUACGGGAUAUUCUGGGUCUGUCGCAUGAUGGGUCUGGUACAGCUAUUGUUUCGGUGGGGGAUGGGCUCGCGGCGGAUCAGCUUGUUGGUGGGGUGAGGGCCUAGCAAGGCGGUUACGGGUCGCCGGCCUGGGAGGGUGGACGGUCACACUGGGAGUGAGACACGGCCCAGACUGAUACAGGGGGCAGAAGUGGGGGAUAUUGCACAGUGGGGAAAAGUCUGAUGCAGGGAGGCGGCGUGAGGGAUGGAGGCCUUCGGGUUGUGAACCUCUUUCGCCAGUGAAGCAGGCCUGCCUGGUUUGUAGGUGGGUUGACGGUAGCUGGAUAAGAAGCGCCGGCUAACUACGUG